UUUCGUGAUGAACAAGAGGUCCAACCUCUAUAAUCCCAGCUCUUCGAAUGUCUCACCAUACCAACGCAGAGGCAGCAUGAGAAUAUGUCCCACCUGAUCCU
rfam:Hortaea werneckii EXF-2000 unitig_11, whole genome shotgun sequence.